rnacentral:rRNA from 1 species
GCAAKUCGAGCGAACAGAAGGGAGCUUGCUCCCGGAUGUUAGCGGCGGACGGGUGAGUAACACGUGGGUAACCUGCCUGUAAGACUGGGAUAACUCCGGGAAACCGGAGCUAAUACCGGAUAGUUCCUUGAACCGCAUGGUUCAAGGAUGAAAGACGGUUUCGGCUGUCACUUACAGAUGGACCCGCGGCGCAUUAGCUAGUUGGUGGGGUAAUGGCUCACCAAGGCGACGAUGCGUAGCCGACCUGAGAGGGUGAUCGGCCACACUGGGACUGAGACACGGCCCAGACUCCUACGGGAGGCAGCAGUAGGGAAUCUUCCGCAAUGGACGAAAGUCUGACGGAGCAACGCCGCGUGAGUGAUGAAGGUUUUCGGAUCGUAAAGCUCUGUUGUUAGGGAAGAACAAGUGCGAGAGUAACUGCUCGCACCUUGACGGUACCUAACCAGAAAGCCACGGCUAACUACGUGCCAGCAGCCGCGGUAAUACGUAGGUGGCAAGCGUUGUCCGGAAUUAUUGGGCGUAAAGGGCUCGCAGGCGGUUUCUUAAGUCUGAUGUGAAAGCCCCCGGCUCAACCGGGGAGGGUCAUUGGAAACUGGGAAACUUGAGUGCAGAAGAGGAGAGUGGAAUUCCACGUGUAGCGGUGAAAUGCGUAGAGAUGUGGAGGAACACCAGUGGCGAAGGCGACUCUCUGGUCUGUAACUGACGCUGAGGAGCGAAAGCGUGGGGAGCGAACAGGAUUAGAUACCCUGGUAGUCCACGCCGUAAACGAUGAGUGCUAAGUGUUAGGGGGUUUCCGCCCCUUAGUGCUGCAGCUAACGCAUUAAGCACUCCGCCUGGGGAGUACGGUCGCAAGACUGAAACUCAAAGGAAUUGACGGGGGCCCGCACAAGCGGUGGASCAUGUGGUUUAAUUCGAAGCAACGCGAAGAACCUUACCAGGUCUUGACAUCCUCUGACAACCCUAGAGAUAGGGCUUUCCCUUCGGGGACAGAGUGACAGGUGGUGCAUGGUUGUCGUCAGCUCGUGUCGUGAGAUGUUGGGUUAAGUCCCGCAACGAGCGCAACCCUUGAUCUUAGUUGCCAGCAUUUAGUUGGGCACUCUAAGGUGACUGCCGGUGACAAACCGGAGGAAGGUGGGGAUGACGUCAAAUCAUCAUGCCCCUUAUGACCUGGGCUACACACGUGCUACAAUGGACAGAACAAAGGGCUGCGAGACCGCAAGGUUUAGCCAAUCCCAUAAAUCUGUUCUCAGUUCGGAUCGCAGUCUGCAACUCGACUGCGUGAAGCUGGAAUCGCUAGUAAUCG